rnacentral:rRNA from 1 species
AUUGAACGCUGGCGGCAUGCUUUACACAUGCAAGUCGAACGGCAGCACAGGGAGCUUGCUCCUGGGUGGCGAGUGGCGAACGGGUGAGUAAUGUAUCGGAGCGUGCCUGGUAGUGGGGGAUAACUACUCGAAAGAGUGGCUAAUACCGCAUGAGAUCUUUGGAUGAAAGCGGGGGACCUUCGGGCCUCGUGCUACUGGAGCGGCCGAUAUCAGAUUAGGUUGUUGGUGGGGUAAAGGCCUACCAAGCCUGCGAUCUGUAGCUGGUCUGAGAGGACGACCAGCCACACUGGGACUGAGACACGGCCCAGACUCCUACGGGAGGCAGCAGUGGGGAAUUUUGGACAAUGGGCGCAAGCCUGAUCCAGCAAUGCCGCGUGCAGGACGAAGGCCUUCGGGUUGUAAACUGCUUUUGUACAGAACGAAAAGUCUCUGGCUAAUAUCUAGAGAUCAUGACGGUACUGUAAGAAUAAGCACCGGCUAACUACGUG